ensembl:lncRNA
CCUGCUUUAAAAAUUAUUUUGACUAAACCAGUCAAUCCAGUUUAAGUAAAAGUGAAACUGCAUUUAGUGACGAUUGGACUGUAAAAGGUUCUCAGGAGAAGAACACAGUUUAUAGGUAUAAUCUGUUGGAGGAGACAUGGCCUCCAAAAUGAGUGUGUCUGGGGAGCAAGACACAGAGAAAGGCGAGAGGUGAGUGAAGACAAUGCAGCAACUCUGUGAUCCCAAAGAUGGAGGCUCAGGUCCUAAGUAAAAUCUGUGCCUGCCAAUGGUGCCAGUUGAACAUCAUCCAGUGCCACUACAACCUGUGUCGCUUCCAGAUGGCCCAUGGAAGAAGGCUCUCAGGGACAUUUUCGGACCC